AUCAAUGACGGUACUGUCAGAAUAAGCUCCGGCUAACUACGUCCAGCAGCCGCGGUAAUACGUAGGGUGCGAGCGUUAAUCGGAAUUACUGGGCGUAAAGCGUGCGCAGGCGGUUAUGUAAGACAGAUGUGAAAUCCCCGGGCUCAACCUGGGAACUGCAUUAGUGACUGCAUAGCUUGAGUGCAGCAGAGGGGGAUGGAAUUCCGCGUGUAGCAGUGAAACGCGUCNAUAUGCGGAGGAACACCGAUGGCGAAGGCAAUCCCCCUGGGCCUGAACUGACGCUCAGCACGAAAG
rnacentral:rRNA from 1 species